AUUGCCCAUUUUCGUGAAGUUGUAUAGGCGAUAUCGGAAAAAUUGGCAAUCAGCCUGGCCAAUUGUAUGUGCCCCUACACCCACAUACCCCCAUCAAAAUGCUGUAAAUACAUAUAGAGAGAGAGAGAGAGAGAGAGAGAGAGUAUACCAACUAGUGUAACAAGAUCUUGAUCGUUUAAGCCCUUAUCUGAGAACUUUUGCCUUUGAACGGUGAUCGAAUCAAGGGGGGAAGGUAAGUUGUUUGAGACUUCUGUAGACGACGAAAUCCUACCGUCUCUUCUUCCAGUUGGUACUGCCCAACUUGGCCCAUUGCUCUUGAAAAGUCACAACAUGUACACAUCCAGAGAGAGAGAGAGAGAGAGAGAGAUGUUUGUGGAAGGGAUUCUUUGCCUGAACCAGGCCUAUUAUUUGCAGGUCUGAAAACCAUGACUGGCCCAUGAUCUUGAAAAAUGGGUGCAGAUCUGGCCCAUGGUAAACCUAGAUUCUGCUUUAGACCUGAGCAUGCACAAGAGUUUAUUUUUUGGGCCUAUUUGGCCUGACCCAUUUUACUAAAACUAGGAAUUCCAGCUCAUAAAAUCUGGGACAGCAGCCAGAUAUUCCAUACUAGCCUAUUGACAGCUUGUUGAAAGAAGCCCCCUCAUGAGAGUUCACGCUCUUUCCACGAAAACUCCGUGGGGCUUACCAAUAUGACUUGUAUGUGACAUCCACCCAGUCAAUUUUUUUGUACCAGGUUAUGCUAAUAUCAGAGCCCAAAAAUCUCCCAGAUUCAAAAAUCAAGUGGACCACACCACGGGGAACUGAAAAGGGACACCAACCAUUGAAAUAUUCUUGGGGCCCACUAAAGUUUUUUCGCUGAUAUUUGAGUUUUUUCUUCA